rnacentral:rRNA from 1 species
AACGAACGCUGGCGGCAGGCUUAACACAUGCAAGUCGAACGCAUCGCAAGAUGAGUGGCAGACGGGUGAGUAACACGUGGGAACAUACCCUUUGGUGCGGAACAACAGCUGGAAACGGCUGCUAAUACCGCAUGCGCCCUACGGGGGAAAGAUUUAUCGCCGAAGGAUUGGCCCGCGUCUGAUUAGCUAGUUGGUGAGGUAAUGGCUCACCAAGGCGACGAUCAGUAGCUGGUCUGAGAGGAUGAUCAGCCACACUGGGACGUGAGACACGGCCCAGACUCCUACGGGAGGCAGCAGUGGGGAAUAUUGGACAAUGGGCGCAAGCCUGAUCCAGCCAUGCCGCGUGAGUGAUGAAGGCCCUAGGGUUGUAAAGGCUCUUUCAGCGAGGAGGAUAAUGACGUUAC